GGCCCCUUAGUCAUUGGAUUCCGCCAAACUCUUUCAAAUGAGAAAUGCAUAAAAGAAAAUCAUUUUACUGAAUGCGUUUGAAUCUUCAAAAGCCAGAUUAGGUGCUGUACAAAGGAACCUAAGAGGGAGCAACUUCAGCACAGGUUUCUUUUACAUCUUACCUGCUUUUUAUUGUAGUCAUUCAGCUAUUAUAAUGUGGAUCAAACUAUUAAAGAAAGGGCAGCCCUGGUUGCAAUGAGGAUCCUUGGCUUUCCAAGGGUUAGGGUGAGAAGUCUUUAUACAAGAUAUUUCUUUGUAUUUUGCAAAGCGGAUGUUUCAUUGAUCCCCUGACCUUCAAGUCACAAAGGACUAAGCCUUAUCAUGGAUCAAACUCUAAAGGCAUCAUAAUUUUCUUAAAAACCUUCUUUCCCCACAGCCUUUGAUUUCAAUGUUCAUGCUAUGUUCUUCUUGAAAGUUUAUUACUACUAUUUCAUUUAUGAUAUAGUUGUUGGCUAUUGAAGUUGUUAGAACCGUUCAUAUAAUGCUUUUGCACUCAAACACUUACAUGAGGCGAGGAAUGCUUGGUGUUGCAUACUUUGGUCGGAAGGAACUCCCAUGGGUUGAUAAAGUAACAAGGGAAAUUGGUCGUUCCUCACAUUGUCUAAAUACCUUCAAUCUCACUGUGUUGAAAACAUAUCAUUCGCUUGUGAAGAUACGACAAAAAGUGAUAUUAGCUCAUAGAUGGACCACUAUUGUUGGACUUUUGAUUCGGUUAGUGGCGUAUGAUAAAAUAAAAAGCCUUGCUUUUCUGAACUGGGUAAUCGUCAAAGAAAGUUGUUGCUGUCUUGCUGAUCAUUGAUUACAGUGGAAGGAUGGAUACGGUGCAACAUGUCGAGAAAUGCCUCGAUUCAGCCACACAUAUAUUGUGUUUACAAUAUGCAAACAUGUCUUCUGAAACUGUGGUAACAUUAAACAGUAGGAGUGUGACCAGCGAGAGCAUACAAGAGUGUCCUUUGCCAUUUACAUAUGAAGCUGCUAUGGAAGCGCUUUCGUCUCUGAUCACACGCAAAAAACGUGAUGGCUAUUCAAAUCCAAAUGUUAAAUACAAGAAGCUGGAGAGGAUGUCAAUGUAUAUUCAGAUAUUAGGCCUAGAGGAACAGAUUGCUGACCUUAACAUUAUCCAUGUUGCUGGAACUAAAGGAAAGGGAUCAACAUGCACAUUUUGUGAAGCAAUCUUACGGGAGUGUGGUUUUAGAACUGGCCUCUUUACUUCUCCUCAUCUAAUUGAUGUGAGAGAAAGGUUCCGUCUCAAUGGGUUGGAAAUAUCCGAAGGGCAAUUUCUGUUAUAUUUUUGGGAUUGUUGGAGCCAGUUGAAGGAUAAAGUCACAGAGGACCUGCCAAUGCCUCCACUCUUUCAGUUCCUUACUCUAUUGGGGUUGAAGAUAUUUGUAUCUGAAAAGGUGGAUGUUGCUAUUAUUGAAGUUGGUCUUGGAGGGAAAUAUGAUUCGACAAAUGUGAUCCAAGACCCUGUAGUGUGUGGCAUUACUUCUCUUGGCUUUGAUCACACAGAAAUUCUAGGGGACACCCUGGAAAAAAUUGCUUUGCAUAAAGCGGGGAUAUUUAAGCCUCAAGUUCCUGCAUUCACCGUACCUCAACUUCCCGAAGCAAUGGAUGUUCUUAAGCAGAGGGCGCAUGAAUUGGAGGUUCCAUUGCAAGUAAUAGCACCACUUACAUACCAGAGAUUGAAUGGGGUGAAGCUAAGUCUAUCUGGCGAUCACCAACUUGUGAAUGCUGGCCUUGCUGUUUCUCUUUGUAAAAGUUGGCUCAAUACUAAAGGAAACUGGGAAAAGCUGUCCCAAAAUGAUUCCGCAGACGAUACUCUACCAAAGGCAUUUUUAAGAGGUCUUUCAACUGCACAUCUUUCUGGAAGGGCUCAAAUAGUUCACGACUCUUAUUUGGGCUCAAGUAAUCAGAUAGGAGACAAUGAAAGUUGUUCUGGGGAGUUGAUCUUCUACUUGGAUGGAGCUCAUAGUCCUGAGAGCAUAGAUGCUUGUGCCAAAUGGUUUUCUAAUGUUGUCAAUGAAAAGAUUCAUAGACCAUGGUCAUCAUUUUCUGGGGUUGGAAACAUGGAAGAAGUUUGCAGCAAUGGUUGCAUUCAACAUUCAAAUGGACAAGAUGAAUCCGAAACAAUACCAAAAAGGAUUCUGCUGUUUAAUUGCAUGGAGAUGAGAGAUCCAGAAAUUAUACUUCCAAGACUUGUGGAUAUAUGUGCAUCGUCAGGUUCUCAUUUCUCCAAAGCAAUUUUUGUCCCAAGUAUCUCGACUUACAGCAAGGUUACUUCUGGUUCUUCAGACAUCCCUUUAAACAUCCCUUCCAAAGAUCUGGCAUGGCAGUUCAACCUCCAGAGAGUUUGGGAAAGAAGUAUUCAUGGAAGAGACUUUGGGGUGAACAAGAAUGUGAAGAUGGAAGCUGCUGAAAAUUUGCCAUCCCCUGAGUUCCUUUACAAUGAUGAUAUCUCUCGCUGCAAUGGAAACUUUAGUUGCAGUGCAGUGUUCCCCUCACUACCCUUGGCAGUUUCCUGGUUAAGAAAUUCUGCUCGAGACAACCCUUCGCUUAAGCUUCAGGUUCUUGUAACUGGAUCAUUGCAUCUUGUUGGUGAUGUUUUAAAGCUACUAAGGAGGUAAUAUGCUCGUGUUAAGGUUUAGAUCGAAGACCAUUUGUGACGCGUUAAGGACCCUCGUAAGAUUUGAUUCACUUAUGUUGAAGAUCCAAUAAUGGAAACUCAAUUGUUGAAGGUUAAUUCGUCAUUGAAAUUGCCUAUUGGAGACAUGAAACACUCGAGUUGAAGCUUUCAACGUUCAAAAGCAUGAUCGAGAGCAGAUCUUUUGCUAACCUUAUAGACCUUGGCGUUGACGCUCAAGCCGAAAAAGUGAAGUUGACAAUAAGAUGACUCUACUGUGGUUUGCUAUUUAAUAGGUGUUGAAAUUAUUAGUCUUAUUUCACUACUCAUUGAUAUGAGAUUCAUUGAUAUGAGAUGUGUUGAAGUUUUUUUUAAUGCAAAAUUGGUACAACUUUCUGUUAAAUUGAUAAAUGACUUUAAUGUUU